GCACACAUCACUGAGCAGUGACACGGAGCACUGGUCCUUCACAGAAAAUGGACCCUCUGGAAGGAAGAACACACUUCACAGCGUGCCUGCCACAUCUCAGGCAUCUACACAGUGGCUGCACUAAAACUUCAAAGUUCACCAGAGUCUAAAAUCACACUCUGACUUUUUAGUUCUUCAUUGCUGUUUCAAAAGAGCACACACAUUUGCUCCAACAUGAAAAGAAAGAGAGGUCGUAGUCUUCUUAUGCCAGGGGGAGGCUCCGCUAUGGCCCCCACACAUGACCUCACUUCCUUGGCGACAGGUCCAAACAGAACUUAGAACCCUGUGGGCGCUAGGCACCAUAGGUGAGUGCCAACUGCCUUCGCAGGCACUUAGCUGGAGACGGCAGCAGUGGAAAUGCUGUGUUGCUUUUCCAGGCCUCGAGGCCCCAGCCUCAGGACCCCGCGCAGGGAAACCGUGUGGCAACGAGUAAGAGGAUGGUUCACUCAGCCCAGACGCUUCAGGACACUCACCAGGAAGCGCCCAACGGUCAUGGGCUGCACAGGGCAGGGCUCUGCGGACACAGGCCCCAUGUACCCAGAGACAAAUGGGAGCCCAGGACGGGUGUCCCUACAACUAACGGUCAUCUACACAGAGCCUCCGAGUCCGGUACAGGUCUGUUUGGACCUGGCCAACACUAGUGGAAAUCAUUCGGCCGAGAGCCUGGAGGAGGUCUGCACCUUGAGCAUGGUGCAGGCAGAUGGGCCUCACACUCUGACGGAGCCCCUGGAGCUGGCCUUCCUGGGCAGCUGCCCCAGCCCUGGGCCCUCCCUCCUGGACUCCUCCAGCGCCUCAGACAUUCCCAGCCCGCAGGCCCUGAUGCUGGCAAGGUGAGUUCCUCUCUCAGCAGCCCAGUGGGACGUGGCCACCUAUGGAUUCAAGGCUUGGCAAA
rnacentral:lncRNA from 1 species